rnacentral:sRNA from 4 species
GAUUCUGCCCUACGGGGAAGGAUGAGAAGCUUCGACUAAGGUUCGACUCGAGCGCCAGCGAGAGAACGUUGCCAAGGGCAACGGCCCGAAGGGCGAGGAGCGAUAGCGACGAGUUAUCCUUCCCCCACCACCA